GUGGACGCCAGUCUGCGUGGAGCCGACCUUGAAAUACCACCCUUUAAUGUUUGAUGUUCUAACGUGGACCCGUAAUCCGGGUUGCGGACAGUGUCUGGUGGGUAGUUUGACUGGGGCGGUCUCCUCCUAAAGAGUAACGGAGGAGCACGAAGGUUGGCUAAUCCUGGUCGGACAUCAGGAGGUUAGUGCAAUGGCAUAAGCCAGCUUGACUGCGAGCGUGACGGCGCGAGCAGGUGCGAAAGCAGGUCAUAGUGAUCCGGUGGUUCUGAAUGGAAGGGCCAUCGCUCAACGGAUAAAAGGUACUCCGGGGAUAACAGGCUGAUACCGCCCAAGAGUUCAUAUCGACGGCGGUGUUUGGCACCUCGAUGUCGGCUCAUCACAUCCUGGGGCUGAAGUAGGUCCCAAGGGUAUGGCUGUUCGCCAUUUAAAGUGGUACGCGAGCUGGGUUUAGAACGUCGUGAGACAGUUCGGUCCCUAUCUGCCGUGGGCGCUGGAAGACUGAGGGGGGCUGCUCCUAGUACGAGAGGACCGGAGUGGACGCAUCACUGGUGUUCGGGUUGUCAUGCCAAUGGCACUGC
rnacentral:rRNA from 1 species